CGCCGGUCGACACUUUUGACGCUUCUGGCAUAUUCAGCACUAUGCUCCACGAGACUUCAGUCGUUACUUUUUUUUGAAAACGACCAAAGACACCAAAUGAGAAUUGCCUAGCAGUUGUGUUGGAAGCUGUUUCUAAUGUCCAGCUCUAGUUUACUGGGAAACAAUUGAAUACAAGAAGACCAUGGUAGGUUGGUUCAUUUUUUUAGGUGGCAAACUAGAAGAAACCGUAUCACAAACCCUGUUAUUGCAUGAACACACACUCUAUGUCGUACUUUAUUAUUUCUAUAUGAAAUAAUAAAAAAAAUCUUUAAGAUAAAUCAAUAGACUUGUAAGCGAAGAUUAUUUACUAAUUUUCUAAAAUGUUUUAUUAUUGUUUUAAAAUAUCAGAAAGAGCUUAUACGUCUUGAUUUUAUUAAGUUAUUACAUUGUAAAACAGUCAGAUAUUAAUAUAGUAACAUGGCAGUUUAUUUAUUUUUUAUAGUUAUCAGAGGAGAAAAAACAUGUCGUCCACCUUAAUCUUGUUAAACCAUUUUAGUGUAUUUUUACAUUUGACAUAGCACAUGACACAAAGUGAAUAAAUCAGGAAUAGCUCAGGGUCCAGUAAAUAUCACAACCAUCCAUCCAAAACCAAACAAUCAAGACCAAUUCAAAAAUACAGUGUAAAAAUGUAAUAUAAAAAAAAAUAUUUAGGUAAUUAUUUUUUUUUUUUUU